CCCCAUUAACACAUUCUCCGCUGUUCUGUACAUUAUAACUCUCCCCAUUAACACAUUCUCCCCUGUUCUGUACAUUAUAACGCUCCCUAUUAACACAUUCUCCCCUGUUCUGUACAUUAUAACGCUCCCCAUUAACACAUUCUCCCCUGUUCUGUACAUUAUAACUCUCCCUAUUAACACAUUCUCCCCUGUUCUGUACAUUAUAACGCUCCCCAUUAACACAUUCUCCCCUGUUCUGUACAUUAUAACGCUCCCCAUUAACACAUUCUCCCCUGUUCUGUACAUUAUAACGCUCCCCAUUAACACAUUCUCCCCUGUUCUGUACAUUAUAACGCUCCCCAUUAACACAUUCUCCCCUGUUCUGUACAUUAUAACUCUCCCCAUUAACACAUUCUCCCUGUUCUGUACAUUAUAACUCUCCCCUAUUAACACAUUCUCCCCUGUUCUGUACAUUAUAACGCUCCCUAUUAACACAUUCUCCCCUGUUCUGUACAUUAUAACGCUCCCCAUUAACACAUUCUCCCCUGUUCUGUACAUUAUAAACUCCCCAUUAACACAUUCUCCCCUGUUCUGUACAUUAUAACGCUCCCCAUUAACACAUUCUCCCCUGUUCUGUACAUUAUAACGCUCCCCAUUAACACAUUCUCCCCUGUUCUGUACAUUAUAACUCUCCCUAUUAACACAUUCUCCCCUGUUCUGUACAUUAUAA